rnacentral:ncRNA from 1 species
GGCAAGUAUAUAAAGAAAUUAUUAUGGAUAAUUAGCUAUAUAUUAAAGAAUAUCUAGUCAAUCUAGUUUCUAAGAGAAAUCAGAUAAUAAACGAAGUGAAUUGAAAUAUCUUAGUAACUUUAGGAAAAGAAAUCAAACGAGAUUGUUAUUUGGUGUCAACUAAAUAACAAAAGCCUAAUAACAAAACUUGUUAAAAGUAAAAUGGAUUAAAAUCUGUUUGAAUAUAGGGGAACCUUCCUCUAAGGCUAAAAAUGAUAUAUAAGCGAU